rnacentral:tRNA from 1 species
GGGGAGAUAGCUUAGUUGGUAGAGUGCUUACUUCCCAUGUUAAAGGCCCUGGAUUCAACCCCCAGCACCAUCUCAUCA